rnacentral:lncRNA from 10 species
CAGCUCUAUAUGCAUUUCUUGAAUGAGUCUUUUAAAACUAAUUUUGUUGAGGGUUCCCUGUAGGGCCACUGCAUGUCAAAAGGGGUUAACCACCCAGACAUUCCCACUCAGUCCCCAGUCACCCAAGGGGCAGCUUGCAGCUUGCAGUAACAAAAUGUCCUUUCUCUUCAGAGCUGAGGAGAAAAUCCAUUUCUGAAGCCAACGGGGAGAGCACCUCAGCAGACAGCCUUUAAUCCAUUCAGCUUAGGUUUUCUUCUUCUGAGAAUCUUUUAAUGUCAUUUAUAUACAAAAGAAAUUCUCAAAUGUUAAAAUAAAGGAAUAGUUUAUUGCUUAAUAUAACUUAUCAUCACUUUGCUUCUUUACUGAAUCUUCUACACUCUUGCCUGAUACCUAAAUUUAAUGUUUGUUUUUAACUCAAAAAAUGUACUGUAGUAUGGAAAAUGGAUAGCAGUAGAAUAAAGUCUUAAGAUUAUUUUUUAAUUAC